GAGAGAGAGAGAGAGAGGCAGAGACACAAGCAGGCUCCAUGCAGGGAGCCCGACGCAGGACUCGACCCCGGGUCUCCAGGAUCACACCCUGAAGGCAGCGCUAAACCACUGGGCCACCCAAGGCUGCCCGGAAACUCGGAGUAUUGUUUCAGUAGACAGCACUCCAUCCUCGUACUACAAACAACGUCUCAUGGACCAUGGGGCAACCACUGUGCUUCUGAAGCUACAUCUUUCGAAUGGAACAUUCAAACAGUACACACUGUGGCCAUUUAAAGGACGAAAUGGAGAAAAUGUGGUAAUUACCAGAGAAAAAAAAAAAUCACAAAACUUUUGGAAUGUUAAAAUAAUAAGUAACUACUUUUAGUCUCAAAAUUCUAGGCAUCGCUAUAGCCUAAAACAUUGGUCAAUGUGACUAGUAAGUUAAUGGGACCAAGAUUUCAAAGGCCAACUUAAUACUGAAUCUUAAUAAAUAACAAGAAAUCUGUAACCCCACAAAAUGUUUAAGUUUGUACACAUGCAAAAUUAAUGUAAAUUUCUGAAAAAAGCAAGAAUGGGGAAUGUUAAAGCAUUGUUGUUGUUUUUUAACAUAAAGCAUGCACUUUCUAAUACAUUCUUAAGUAUUUCUAAGUUUGAAUUCUAAUCCAGUAACAUUCAUUAGCAUUUUAAAUGCAGUCUAACCAUGUACCCCAAGCAGAUAUGGAAUACACACUUCUAAUUUUCAAAGGUGGGAAUAAUUCAUGGCACUGAUACCAAAGAUGUGAGACUUUAACUCUUGACCAUACCACCUAGUUUUCCUUCAAAAUUUUUAAACAUGUUCUCAAAGCUAAAUGGUAUAAAGCAAAUUUUAAAAUGUAACCCUACUCCCAAACAACACUGAAAGAAAAUAUAGGAAACAUAUGCACUGUGUGAUUAAUCAUCUCAGGCUAUUUGCUACAAAAUUUUCAAAGUGUGAACCUGCUUUAACUGAAAAUAGAUUCAAAGUUCACACAAUUGUUUCUAGAGUUCAAAACAAACAAAUGAGGAGGUGUGUGUUGAUAUUUAAAACAGUCUUAAUAUUUUAUUAGAAGAAAUAUACUUCCAAACUUCUUUCCCCUUCGUAUCUAAACACAAACUUUAAUUAAAAAUAUAUAUAUAAAUCAGUAGAAUACCAUAUUACAAAUGCCCAGAAAUGCAGAAUAAAGAUCAAGAACUGCUUGGAAAUACUUCUAACACUUUUUGGGAUUACACUCAUAAUCUAAUGAAGAUUAUGAACUAGCACAAUCAUUAUUGGGGCCAACAAUUCAAAAUAUUUGCCUUAUCAAAGCUAGCACCAAGAAAGUAUUAUGCACAUAAACUUGAAAAACAGAUCAUCUUUACUUCAGAAAAGCACAGUCCUACAGAGUAUUGCUCUCUAGUUUAGCUAGUAAAAGGAUCAAUCUGUCUCAAUGAGGCAUACAUCUAUCUGAGCCAUUAAUAACAUCUUAUCCGAAUCGCUUUCCAGUUAUUUGGUAUCUAUUAAAAAUUGUUACUGGAAUGAAAAUUUGUCAUGGACAUAACUCAUUUUUUCUUCUAAGAUGCCAGUUAAAAUAGUGGCUCUCUAACACUUCAAACUUACCUUUUGUAAAAAUUAACAUUAGUAUUUUAAAAAAAGACAAUCAAAUCCCUAGUCCCUGAAAGUCUAACCAAGACUCCAUUUAUUUAAUUCCUCUCAAUUCCAAAACACAGGUUUUGCAGCAUGGUUCAUGGCUACCAUAUGGUCACCUAAUUAACACUUUAUUCACGGGAAAGCAUUUGGAGAUUUCUCAAGUAUGAAAAGAAUUUCAUUAGUGAUUAGAUGAGCAACUGAAAGCCACUGAAGUGAGUCCACCUUCAUCCCAAGGAAGGGAGGAUCACCACUCAACAGCAAUUCUCCAGUUGCACAAAUAAUUUAUCAUUUCUCUAACAGGUAGAAGAUCUCAUGAAAACAUAAUUUUUACAAAGUCAACAAACACUUUUCCCAAACUGGUCUUCUAAAUUCAACAGAAUUUUAGACUUCCAAGUUGUGAAUCUAGCAAAUCAAACCGCUUCAUCUCAUUUGGGGGAAAAAAGGCACAAAAGAAAAACAAGCAGCAUAACCUUUAUUUGGUGAUACAAUAACAGUGUUCCAAAGUUUUGAACACUGAAUUUUACUUAUGUGAUAAUUUGUUUUCUAUCUAAGCAAUUUAUUCAGAUGUGUGCUUUAAAAAUACACAUUAUGAACCCUGCAAUUGGUAUAUUCUGUUAUUAGAAAUAUUUUUCACGGUAAUACAUUAUUUAACUUUCUAUAAUUAGAGGGAAAAAUCAUAAAGAUCAUACUUUAUUUUUAGCCUGACAGAAUAAAUGUAUUAUAUAUAUCUUUUUCAAAACCAGUGCACUUAGAAGACUCUAAUUUAUGCACUCCAUUGUUCAAAUCAAAAAGCUGUACAUCUUCCAGUAUCCACACUAUAACACAGUCCUAGUAAAAAUGCACACUCCUUUAAUCCCUUUACUUUCCCUUGAAUUUGCUUUUAUUUUCGGGAGGAGGAAAGGAUAAAGAAGUUGCAGUGCAGAACUAUAUUUAUUUAGAACAAAACUUUAUAUUCUACAUUAAAAAAAAUAAUUUUAUCAAAACCAAAUUUCAAUCACAGUUAUGUAUGAUUUUCAUUUAAAGGUACAUGUUGAAAUUGCACUUUGCAGACAUCUUGAUAGUGUCCUUUAUACUGCUCCCCAUUUCAACCUAUGUUUUUUUCGGUAGACACAGGUUCUUCCAGAGUUUUCUUUUGGCUUCCUUUCCGUGAAUAUUUGUAUUUGUCUACAUAGGCUUUAACCAGAUUUGCCACUUUAGUAGAAUUUACUUCUCCACUCUUACUAUGACAAACCUAUGAAAAAAGGACGGGAAUAUUUUUCUCAUACUUACAAAGAUUACAGCAAAAUGGAAAGCUUUUUGAAAAACAACCCCCAAAAGAUAAGCAGACAUUUUUAUAUGCUUCAUCUCUCUCAUAUGAACUCACUUGAAAGGUAAAAAAAGCAAGUAAGAAUCAGAAGUUAGUGUUUAUUAUUUUAAUUAGGCUUAAGCAUUCCUUUAUUAGAAUAGGAUUCAAAACAAUACAUACAUAAUUCUGUUAAAGCUAGAACUUACUUUAUCUACUGCUUUCCGCACAAUCUCUUUAUAUUCUUCCUUGGUGAUAUCUUUAUUUUGGUAAAAUGGCUUAAUGGCCAAUUUUACCUCCUGUGCUGCUUUUUCUUGGAUUUGUAAUUUCUGGCAAGAGGAAAAAGUAUAAUUAUUAUUUGCCCAAUCACAUACUUUAAAAAGUUUCUUUAAAAAUAUGAAAUUGAAAACACCACACUUUUACAUUAUUGCAAGAAUUCUUCAAUUAGUGUCAUAAAUACAAAAGUUAUUUAUUAACACACACACACACACCCCAAACAUUUCAAAAAACAAAAUCAUGAAAUACUACCAGUAACUCACUGGACAUCAACAUAUGUAUAUAGAACCCUUCAAAUAGCAUUAGAAUUUAAGACUAUCAACAGUAAAUUCCCUUUACCAAUUAUACAAAACAAAACUGUUAUUUUUUCAUCUUUAGCAUAUACAGAAUAUGUAGGUUGCUCUCAACCUUGAACUUGCCUUGUCUGUCUUCGAGCUAUCUGCGCUGGCUUCCACUGUAACACUUACUUUGCUUUCUGUUAAUUUUACAGCAGCAUUAGAGGAUUUGCUGUGACUUGAUGACGAAGUAUUACCAGAACUUGGUCCUUGAACUGUUCCCAAAUUUCCUGGGGCUGCUGUUGGAGCAGGCAAGACUGGUGUACUCAUGUUGUUACUUACAUGAGAAGCACUAGGAAUACCCUGUUUUAAAGAGGUCAUGUAUAUCUAAAGGACUCUGAAGAAAUCAGUUGCAUUUCUAUACACUAACAAUAAAACAGAAGAGAGAGAAAUUAAGGAAUCCAUCCCAUUUACAAUUGCACCCAAAACCCUAAGAUACCUAGGAAUAAACCUAACCACAGAGGUA